rnacentral:tRNA from 1 species
GGAAAGUAGCCGAAUACGGUUCGUCGGGCCAGUUUGCUAAACUGUGCGGUCGCAAGGCCAUGUGGGUUCAAAUCCCAUGCUUUCCGC